rfam:Oryza sativa (indica cultivar-group) chromosome 1, whole genome shotgun sequence.
AAUAGAUGAUGCCGUUGACUUUUUCUCACAUGUUUGACCAUUCGUCUUAUUCAAAAAAUUUACGUAAUUAUAAUUUAUUUUGUUAUGAGUUGUUUUAUCACUCAUAGUACUUUAAGUGUGAUUUAUAUCUUAUCCAUUUACAUAAAUUUUUUAAAUAAGACGAAUGGUCAAAUAUAUAAGAAAAAGUCAACGGUGUCAUUUAUU